CGGAGGGAUCAUUAAAGAGUUCUAUAACUCCCAAACCCAUGUGAACAUACCUAACGUUGCCUCGGCAGGUCGCACCUACCUUGUAGCACCCUACCCUGUAGGGCCUACCCGGGAGGUGCGGGUAAGCCUGCCGGCGGCCCACCAAACUCUGUUUGAUAUUGAAUUCUGAACCUAUAACUAAAUAAGUUAAAACUUUCAACAACGGAUCUCUUGGUUCUGGCAUCGAUGAAGAACGCAGCGAAAUGCGAUAAGUAAUGUGAAUUGCAGAAUUCAGUGAAUCAUCGAAUCUUUGAACGCAUAUUGCGCCCAUUAGUAUUCUAGUGGGCAGGACCGUUCGAGCGUCAUUUCAACCCUUAAGCCUUCGUUGCUUAGUGUUGGGAGCCUACGGCAACGUAGCUCCUCAAAGUUAGUGGCGGAGUUGGUUCACACUCUAGACGUAGUAAUUUUUUAUCUCGCCUAUUAGUUGGACUAAUCCCCUGCCGUAAAACCCCCAAUUUAUCAAGGUUGACCUCGAAUCGGUUCAGACAAACUCGCUAAAUUGAAGCAUCUUAGUCAGCGAAGGAAAAGAAACCAACAGGGAUUGCCCUAGUAACGGCGAGUGAAGCGGCAACAGCUCAAAUUUGAAAUCUGGCCCUCGGGUCCGAGUUGUAAUUUGUAGAGGAUGCUUUUGGCGCGGUGCCUUCCGAGUUCCCUGGAAC
rnacentral:rRNA from 1 species